UGGAGGCAGGACCAGCCAUGGAGGCAGGACUGACAAGUUGUUUAAGGAGUUUGACAUGAUCCACACGCCCAACCAGUCAAGUGCUUCUGCUCCUGAUGCAGAUGACCCAGAGGCUUUCCCAGCUCUGUCCUAAACUGGAUGUCAUAAGCCAACCCUGCCCUGGUCGGGCCCUCCUCUCCGAGGCUUGCAUGCUUAAGGAUCCUAAAACAACUAAGAAACUUAAAAAACCAAAACAAAUAAAAAAGAAAAAAGGAGACUG